CAACAUUGAAUAAACAUUGUUUUUCCAUCUGAAUCAUCAUUAUGGUUGAUAUUGAAAUUUCAAUGCAAAAUAAAUGUUGAAUCAACAUUAUCAUAUCGAUGAAAACCUGAUGUUAUUAAUGUUGAUGGCAACAAUAUUGGAACAACAUUGAUCCAUAGUUAUCUUUAUGAUUGAUUAAGCAUUGAUAUUUGGUUACCGGGUGAUCCCUGAAUGUGUUGAAAAGUAAUUGAUUUAUAGUGGACAGAGAAAGGAUGCGGUUGUUGAAAAGUCAUCGAAAUAUAGUUGACCGGGAAAUAUGAUAGAAAGUGCAUCGAAAUAUAGUUGACCAGGAAAUAUGAUAGAAAAUGCAUCGAAAUAUAGUUGACCGGGAAAUAUGAUUGAAAAUCCAUCGAUUUUUGGUUGACCGGGAGAUCAACGGGUGGUAUACCCAACGUACUGCACCGGACACAGCUCAUUUCUGGACCCUUGGCACAAGUGUACAGGUAAGCUUGCUUAAUGUUCGAUAUGAAUCCAGACAGCACAGGCACGCGGUGUGUUUUUAUACAGUCUAUGGGCAGCUGAAGAGACUGGCUCAUUUUCAAAUAAUGUUACCGUUAACUUGUUUAGACAACGGUCACGGUAAAUUAAUGUUAAAGCCUUGAGUUUCCAGCAGUAUCUCGGAGGGAAAAUGUAAAAGCGGUUUAUUAAAGAGAAGUCCUGACUGCUUUUUCGUCGUGUUUUUCACUCUUUUACAGGCUGCCAGAAAGAAUCCGUCUCUAUAGUGAGUGAUUAUUGAAUGAGGCUGUACAUUAUAAAUGUAAUGUUUUAACUCGAGAUGUUUGUUUGUGUGAAUGCUGUGUGUGCGCUGAGUUCUGCGCGAGCGGGGAGCAGAGUUGCCAUGGAAACGGGGCGUCAACACAAAAACCGUUACUGGCAAGCAGUAAUCUCCGUCUCUUGCUGCGGUUUACGCUGUUUUAGAAUAUAUUUCACCAAUUUUAAGGAGUCCCUGACAUCAAAACAUGGCUUGUUUUGUUCCUGGACUCUUCAGUGAUGAUGAGCAGAGUCUGAGUGAACCUGCUGUCAGACAAUCACUAUUGCACACCAAAUGCUCUUACUCAGCAGAUGGGGACAGCUACCAUCACCCAAUUUUCACCCAAAAGUGGCUGCGCUAUUCGCCAGACCGGGCAGGAGGGACUGGACGACAACUUAUGCAGGCAUCAGAUGACAAUGAAGUGUAAAUAUAGAGUAGAGGCUAAUAAACAGGAAUUUGAUUUUAAAUA